UUUUAUAAACAAAAGUUAAGGUAUGCUGGCCAUUGGAGCUAGGUUCAAUAAAAUUAGAACAAAACCUUACCACAUAAAAACACUUAAAUAGAUACUUAGAUAUAAUCUAUCAACAAAUAACUCAUGCUACUAAUAGAAUGAGAACUCAUUUUUAUAAGAUAUGUUCUUCCCAACCAAACUAAUCUUUGUUGACCCUUACUUUUAAUUUUACUUCCAUUCAUAAUAGAGAUAUCAACUCUCCCGUGUAAAAUUUGGUAUUUUACUCUGCUAGUGAAAGAUAGCAUGAAUUAUUUAUUAUAAACUAUUGACUAUACAAUAUACUUGUAUAGCAAUAGGUCUCCAAUUACAUGAAGUAGUGCAAAAGAAAAAUCCCAAAAGGGCAAGUUGAAAACAAAGAAAGAAAACUAUAUAUCGCCAACAAGGCAACAAUAUAUGAAGUAAGCACAGUAUAACAUAAUAUCAUCAUGUCUAGUAUAGUAGUAGCACAUCCCUUAUACAUCAUAAAACCAGUAUAGAACUCUUGAGAAUAGUGCUUAUUAUAUAUCCAAGUUGAGUAGUUUCAGGGGCUGGUGGUUGAAGGAGGUGGAGAGAAAAAUGGGAAUGAAGGGAAAGUGAAUGGAAUGUUGGGGAUUGAGGGGAAGCUUGGGAGUGGUGGCAGAGUGAAUUGUGGGAUAGUGGGAAAGGUAGGAAAAGAGGGUAGAGAUGGGUUUGUAGUAGGCAAUGGUGGAGCACUUCCCUGAGGCAAUGUUGGUAUUGGAGGCAAACUGGACCCGGGAGAAGUUGUUGUUUGAAGAAGAUUUCGUGCUCCUAGGCCUGUGUUCAUCAUUGAGAAGGAAACAACAAUGAAAAAAACCAACAUGGUGCAACUGUAAUAGGCCAUGGCUAGUUGAAUCACAAGUCUUAAGAACUUUGCUUUGAGUAGUUAAUUAAGUGUGCAGAUUCAAGAGAGGAGUGGAUGGCCUUUUAUAGAGAAUGAAUGCAUGACUUUGAGGUCUAAGACCCUUCGAAAUUUCUUCUUGUUAGAUAACCUUCCUUAGACUUUGCUGGACUACUUUGAAGGUAGUAGUAGUGGCUGGUUAGUAUAACAGUGGAGAAUCAUAAGUAGGAUAACCAACUUUUCUCACUCUCUUUUAAAUUGAUUUCUUGUUGGUUACUAUGUAUGUUUGGUAAACCAAUUCUGCCCAUGGCUGCUGUGAAACCACCAAACUUCAAUUUUUCAACUUUUUAUUCAGUUAUUUGUGACUUAUUUCAAUUGUUACCAAUCUCUGUUGUGUUGUUUAUCCUUUUAUGAUCAAGGAUUUUGUAAAAUAUAUCUGAUAAUUUAUCCGAUCUUAAAAAAAAUUCAAAUUUAAAAUAGAUUUUUUAUUAUAAAAAAUUAAUAAGUGACGGAUCUAAAUAAAUAUAUUGACGUGACUCUAAAAUUAGCAUAAUUAAAUAUAUUAAAUUAUAAUAAUACCUAUUUUGAUAUAAACAGAUUAUGUAAAAUUAGGAUAUUAUCAAUACCCACCAACAACAGUCAACAAUAUUUUGAAGUCAUGACCUUGUAAGUUAUAAGUUGAUUCCUUGCUGUGAACCAACAUUUGUUUGAUGAUGAUAAAAUAUUUUAUUAGAGAAAAAUAAUUUGUACAUUAACAAUAUAAUAAAAUUCUUAAAUAAAAUUAAAGCAUUGUUCGUGUUAAAAAAAUUGAUUUCUCACAUGUAUCUGUCCAAACUAUGAGUAUCUAUAAGUAUAUGGACUAACUCGUCUGGUGAGUAUUUUUUUCAUAUAUUCACAAGACUUUUACUUAGAAUUUGCUUAAAGAGAAUCAAACAUGUAUCACUUAUCGUGUUAAAAAUUUAGUAAUGAUAAGUAAUAGUUCUAAAAUAUAGGAAUUAAGAUAUAAUGGUUAUUUAGUUUAUCAAAUGUUAAAUUGAUUGUAUCGUUUGAUAAUAAAUAAUUUCAAUCUGGCAUUCAGAUAAAAGUAAAGAUUUAAAGAAACAACAAAAACCAUAAAGAUAUAGUUAAAAUUAUCUAUCUAUCCAAAUCACACAAAAAAAAAAAAAAUUACCUUUCCGUCUAUAUAAGAGUUAUUUCUAUUAGCAAAGUUAACACACAACGAUUAAUCAAGGAGAGAAAUUAAAGCAGUGUAUCCUUAGAGUCAAAGAACUAACCAUGGCUUCUUUAUUUGCUGCACAAUUAGGUAAGCUUUCUUUUAUGCAUAAAUUAGGUUAAGCUUCUCAAGUGCAAAACUAUUUAUUCAAUGUUUUAAUUAAAUAUUGUUUAAUCAUAGAUGACUAAUAAUUCUAUGCAUCAUAAUCUUAUGUGGAUCUUCUUUCAGAACCUUACAGGUGCCAGGUCUCUAGACUCUACCAACCUCUUCUAAAUGUGAAUGAUGAGCACCAAAAGUGUCCUAAACUGGAGCCCACAGAAGGGUUCAUAUUCUACACCAAGGUGUUAUCUCGCACAAUUGAUUCAAACUCUCAUGCAAUGUUAACAACCUUACUCCAUUAUUCUCAAGAAAUUGGGUGCAAAAGCUUCUUUCAAAAAGAGGGUCUUGAUUUUCUUCACUCACACUUAUCUCACCCUAACUUACCCUCUAAGUUGCGUGAGGAGAUAGUACAAGAAGUUAUACAUAAAGUGAGACAUAUGUUUGAGUUUGAUGACAGCUUUGAUUUUGAUCAUGGUUGUGGUAUUGGACAACUUUCUGAUUUACGGUCCCUUGAGUACUGUUUGGUUUUGGAGAUCGUUGUUGAUACUCAAGAGGAUGUCCAUAAUUGAAGAAUGAUCGUUGAUUACUAAUGGAACCCUUUCUUAAACUUCGUUAUUUACUAUAUUGUACUUUUGGGCUGAUUUCGAUUUUUUAAUGUUAUUUUAUUCCAUGUUUAGGUUUAGAAUUACUAUUAUGCUUAGAUCUAUGGUUGCUAUAACUAAUUGUGAGUUUAGUUUAAUAGUGACAAUUAAGAAAAGACAAAUUGUUGAGUUUUUUUGUGAUUGAUUAAAAAAAAAUUGAUAGAUACAAUUUCGUCUAGUGAAAUUGAGUCGAAUAUCAGUGAAAUGGAUAGAUCAUACUACUAAUCAUGAAUAGAAAUAAAAAUUACCGACUCAAUUUCAAUGGGGCCACUCUCAGGUGGUAGCAACAAGUUAUACAGAUAGAAGAACUAGACUCUCAAAUGAAAAACAAAUCUAAUGGUAUAAAUGUUCAAUGCUAGGCGCUAAAUAACACUGCAUAUUAUCUGAUUCAAUAAAGAAAGAUAAACAUAAUACUAGUUCACAAAUUCGGAUUAGUUGCAUAUGCUCUUGAUUUAUCAAUAAGUCUUGUUAAAAGAAAAAAAUUACGGUUACAUGUCUCAAGCAAACAUGAAGAUAUAUAAAACUGUAAACUACUCUCUGUCUCUCUCAAUCUCUCUUCCCAAUCUUCAUGAUUUAGAAAAAAUUGGGGGUAUCUAAGCUGUUACAAGAGUUAAAAGGAGAAAGAAGACAUCAUAAUCAUAAUUGUAUACAAAUGUAUUAUUCAACAUCAAUAAUAUAUAAUAAAGAGUACAAUCAGUAGGGAUAAACUCGCGAAUGGAAAAUAAAAAUAAACGUUUUUCACACCAAUCAAGAAAUACUCCAACAAUUAAGACCUUAUACAACACUCUCACGCACACUAUAUAAAUUAUGCAUUAUACUCCUAUUACAUGCACUCUGCUGACCACAUUUUGCAACUUAGUAAAGAUGCCAAUUCCCAAGUCAGUGGCAACGUAGCACAGGAAGAAGAAGUGAAGUUUUUUUAUGGGCUAGUGGUUGAAGGUGGUGGAGAGAAGAAUGGAAUAGAGGGAAUAGUGGUUGGAAUAGUAGUGGGGAUUGAAGGAAUGUUGGUAGGGAUGCUAGGAAGUGGUGGCAGAGUAUUCAACUGUGGCAGAGAUGGGAUUGUAGGCAAUUGAGGAACAUUAUUGCCCUGUGGUAAUGUCGGAAAUGAAGGCAAAGGUGGCAGCAAUGUUGUUGGAUUAGGCAGUGUGGGAAGAGUGCUUGGAAAGUUUGGUUGUGUAGUUGUUUGCAAAAGAUGGCGAGCUUCUAAGCUUAAACUCAUGCUUGAGAAAACCAAAGCAAGUAGGAGAGUCAUGAUCAAGGAAUUGCUACAGGCCAUGACUUAAUAAAUUACAAGAUUGAGAAAGAAUUGGAAGUUUUUUUUUUUCUUGCAAAGAAGGGGUUUGCUUUUUGAUUUGAUGAGAACAUAGGGGAUGGUGCUUGAUCUUAUAUAGAGGAGAGAGGUAUGAAGGACACUGGAGCAGCAUGUAUAGUUUGGAGAACUAAAUUAGAAGAGCCAUUGCAUUAAUCUUUUGUUAGUUCAACAACAUCCUUUGUUUGAAAAUAUUAUUUUGUGGUUGGGUAUUAUAUUGUAUAUGAACAAACAUUCAAAUGUAGGAUGACCAACUCAUCUGUUUUGUAAGAAUUGGUAGAUUAGAAGAAUUGGAGGUGGAAACAAUGUACAGGUUUUUUUGUCUUCCUGUCCCGGACCAAUUAAACAUCACAAAAUAAUAUUAAAAUAUUAGUUUCUGUUUUUAUAAUUUUUAUUUUUAAAUAAAUGAAACUCUAUGAUUGGCUUAAUACACCAAGUGGAAUAUAAAUUGGGAUAUGUAAUCCCCAUCCGAAAACAAUUAUGUGUUAGAAUCUCAUCUGAUUGGUGAUGCCACAGGACACGUUUUUCGGCCAAUGGUGUUUCAUCCUUUCAUAUAAUCCUCUCAAGUAUUGAUUAAAUUAUUUAAUUUAAAAAUAAAUAAAAAUUUGGACUAUUAAAAUUUUAUUUUUACAAUGUGUUACCAUGCAUUAGCAUCUCCCAACUAGAAACAAUUUACAUUAAAGAAUCAAUUUUGCUCCCCAAAUUUUUUCUCCAUCCUAUUUUGUCCUAAAAAAAACAAGCUUACUAAAUAAUUAUUUGAUGUUUUAUUAAGUCAACUCAUAAAACUAACGAGUCGCAUCGUAUACAUAUCAAGUUUAACUCAUUUAUUUAAUAAGUUCAAUUUUCAGCUCAAAUUCGAUUCAUUUAGUUUAUUAACCAAAUUUAUCAUACUAAAUAAGGAAACAUGUUUUGAACGAAUAUCAAAUUGGUUUAGUUUGUUGAGUAAUCUCAUGAAACUAACGAGUAUAAAACUUAAGCUCAACUCAUUUAUUUAAUGAACUCAAUUUUCAGGUCAAGUUCGACCCAUUUUAAUUCAUUGACCAAGUUUAUCUUACUGAAUAAUAAAUCAAGUUUUGAAUAAAUGUUGAAUUAGUUAGGUUAAUUACUAGUCUUAUUUUUAACCUUACUUCCAUUCAUAAUAGAGAUAUCAAUUACUCUAAAAUUAAAUUUGUGAAAUUUAGCAUUUAAUAACUUAUGCGGCAAACAAGUGCCUUAGUUUCAGGUAGAAACUUGAUGAUGGAAUUAAAGUUGCAGGAAAAAAAAUUGAGAAUCAAAAUUCCUCAAGAAAAAGAAAAUGUUUUUUGCACAAAGGUAAAAAAAAAUAAGUAAUAAAAAGUAUAGUUAAUGUUAAAUUCUUUCCGUCUCGAUAUUGACUAAAUCAACUUCUUAAUUUUUUUCAUCAAGGUUAUUUCAUAUUUGCUAGUAGAGAUAAAUCUCUUUCGAGAUUGAAGGUCAACCAAAUGGGUAUAACAUCUUCCAAUGAAGCCUUUAAUUAUUUUUUGUACAUGAAUCAAGGAUGGAAUUCUCAAUAUCAUGUUUAUGGAAAUUAUGUUGGGCUUUGUUGAUAAAGUUCUCAAUUUUAAAUAUAUUUUUAUUUCUUAGAAUAGUCAUGUUACCUUGAUUAUGUUACACUUGUAACAACACAAUAGUAUUAGUAUUAGAGGUUAUCCAAAAUUUAUCUAAAUCCAUAUGUUAGAAUAAAUGAUUUUAAAUGGAUAAUGUUGAUAAUGAAUGAAUUCAAAUUCAUUCAUUAUAUCUAAUGGAUAUCCAUGGGUAUAUCCAUUUGGAUGAUUACCCAAUCCAUCUAAAAAAUAAAAACAAAAAUAUAUUUUUCCUAGAAAACACAUACAAACCCAACUUUGUUAUAUGAAUUUAACAUGCAAAAAGAUUUUCAGGCCUUAUUACUAGCAAAGUAGCAAUUAUUUCUUAAUUAAUCGAAUUGUUCACAAUAUUAUAUUAGUAUUAUUUAUUCAUAGUAUAGUGGAUCUUUUAUUCCUCAAUCCCGUGAUCCAUAUUUCCUAGAAUAAAAUCAAUGAUAUUUUUAACAGAAUAUGCUUAAUUAUGAUUGCAAUGAGUGUUUAAUAUUAUUUGGGUUGAUGGAAAGAUGUCAACUUACAUUAUUUUAGUCUCAAAAUUUGAUGGGAAUAUGCUUUAAUUUUGUGGAUUAGUGUCCACAAGAAGUUUAUCCGUCAUUUUACUAUGAAUAUCAAAUCUUUUUUACUUAACCUUAUGAUUAUAUUGAGUGUUUAAUAUUUAUUGCCAAUUCUAUUUCUCUUGCAGUCCCUUCAAAUAAAUAUUUCAACUAUAUAUGUCAAUCAUGUAAUUUAAUAUUAGUAAAUAUAGUUUAUAUUUGGAACCCAAAAAAAAAAUGAAGAGUGAGAGAAAUAGUAAAACGAAUCUAUCGAUUUCAUGAUAUACAUUAGUUUUUUCUAACUACAAAAACCUAUGACUCAUUUGAAGAUUUUAAGACAGGCUUAACCAUGUGAUUUAUCAUUAAAAGCUUAAAAGUUACUUUAAGUUUAUUACUCUUUUAAAUUUUUGGAUAAAAACAUCACAAAUUCACUUUUUUAAAAGCACUUUUAAAAAACACUUUUUAAAGUGUUUGUUAAAAAAACAAUUUUAAAAAAAAACACUUUUUAAAAAUGAUUUUUUUAAUUAAAUUCUAAAAGUGUUUUAUUAAAUAAAUUUUUUUAAAAGAACUUUUUCUUCAAAAAUACUUUAUUAAAAAUGUUUAGUUCAAUUUAAAAAAAGUGGAUUGAAAUCCAUUGGAUAUGAAUGAAUUAUAUAGUUUAAAAUGUGAUAUAAUAGAUUAUAUGGAUUAAUAAAUGAUUUUUUAUCCAUUCAUUAAGAUGCAAAUCAAAAUCUAUUCAAUUGCCACCUGUAAUUAGUAUGAAUUAUGAAAUAUCCAAAAUUAAUUUCAAUCUUGAUUUGAAGUAUCCAAUAUUAUUUCAAACUUACUGAGGAGGGGAGUUUAAACUUAGGACAGCAUUAUUCAAACCUUUUAGUUAUGCCAGCUUUGACUAAUAAAUUUGAUUUAGCUCUUUACAUAACCUAAUUAUUCAACAUUUUGAAAUUAUUAAUUGAAAAUAAAUAUUGAGCAAGACUUUUUUUAAGAGAAGAGCCAACUAUUAUAAGUUAUAGGGUAAUAUUGGACAAAUGAUCUUAGAUAAUUAAAAUAAACCAUGUAAUUAAUUAUGAUGAUAAAGACAAUAUGGAUAGUUCCGAGACAUCCAAUAAUUUCUCAUAAAUAAGUUUUAGUAAGGAAAUAAAUGUUUAGAUUAUCAAACCAAAUAAAAGACUAGCACACUCUCUUGGGAAUGAUUUUAUGGUACAACUCUAAAAACACAGAAAAGUAAUUACUAGUCCUUUUUAUUUUUAGUUAUUAUCCGUUCACUACUUCAAGAAGAAAAAUCUGAACAAAAGGUAUUAUGAGACAUGAAAUAUAUUUAUAAGAUAAUUUUAAAAUCUUCUUUUAUUUUUAUUUUCUUCCCAAAUCUAACUCUCAAAUAUAUCAAAAUUAGUUUUAGCAGUAAAAAGUGCAUGUUACAUAAAGGGCAUAAAUGUAUAUCAUUCACAUUUCACUGACUAUAGUAAGCAAUUAAUAUUUUAAAAUAUUUAUUUGACUUCUGAAAUCUCAUCUUUAUCCCACCAAAUAAAGGUUUUUGGGGUGUUUAGACAUCCUUUCAUCACUUUGACAUUUUAUCAACAAAUUUAAAAUAGGUUGUUUAGAAUUCGUGUUAGUCCAAUACAUCUUCUCAAAUAAAAUAUCAAAUGACACAAAAUUUGGGAACUAUAAUUUUGGCUAGCUGAUUUUCAAAUUUUAUUUAUAAAAACAUAAAUAUUUUUCCCAACGUACCUCGAAAGAGAAUCAAAUUUUUUUUAGAAAGAGAAGUGAAAAGUUAUUGGACCCACAUGUGAGGAAGAAUAUAAAUUACACACCAUUAAUUUUAUAAAGUUUACCCAUCAUUCAUCCAAUAUCAUAAAAGAUAGUUUGCUUCUACAUAAACUAAUUUUCAGUUAGCAAAUUAGAACACCCCAUAAAACAACUCUACCAUGAGUGUAAAAUUUAGUAUUUUACUCUGCUAGUGAAAGAUAACAUGAAUUAUUUAUUAUAAAGUAUUGACUAUACUAUAUACUUGUAUAGGAAUAGGUCUCCAAUUACAUGAAGUAGUAUGAAACAAAUGAGGGAAAUUGAAAAGUAUGGCCAACAAGGGCAAUAUAUGAAGUAAGCAAAGUAUAACAUAAUAGCAUCCUGUCUAGUAUAGUAGUAGUAGUACAUCCCUAAUACAUCAUAAAAAGCAAUACAUCACAUAACCAUUAAUAUAGAACUCCUGAGAAUAGUGCUUAUUAUAUAUCCAAGUUGAGUAGUUUUAGGGGCUGGUGGUUGAAGGAGGUGGAGAGAAAAAUGGGAAGGAAGGGAAAGUGAACGGAAUGUUGGGGAUUGAGGGGAAGCUUGGGAGUGGUGGCAGAGUGAAUUGUGGGAUAGUGGGAAUAGUGGGAAUAGUAGGAAUAGUAGGCAAUGGUGGAACACUUCCCUGAGGCAAUGUUGGUAUUGGAGGCAAAGUGAACCCGGGGGAAGUUGUUGUUUGAAGAAGAUUUCGUGCUCCUAGGCCUGUGUUCAUCAUUGAGAAGGAAACAACAAUGAAAAAAACCAACAUGGUGCAACUGUAAUAGGCCAUGGCUAGUUGAAUUACAAGUCUUAAGAACUUUGCUAUGAGUAGUUAAUUAAGUGUGC
rnacentral:lncRNA from 1 species